CGUAGGGUGCAAGCGUUAAUCGGAAUUACUGGGCGUAAAGCGUGCGCAGGCGGUUUUGUAAGUCAGAUGUGAAAUCCCCGAGCUCAACUUGGGAACUGCGUUUGAAACUACAAGACUAGAAUAUGUCAGAGGGGGGUAGAAUUCCACGUGUAGCAGUGAAAUGCGUAGAGAUGUGGAGGAAUACCAAUGGCGAAGGCAGCCCCCUGGGAUAAUAUUGACGCUCAUGUACGAAAGCGUGGGGAGCAAACAGGAUUAGAUACCCUGGUAGUCCGCGCCCUAAACGAUGUCUACUAGUUGUUGGUGGAGUAAAAUCCAUGAGUAACGCAGCUAACGCGUGAAGUAGACCGCCUGGGGAGUACGGUCGCAAGAUUA
rnacentral:rRNA from 1 species